UACCUCUGGUUCCACACCUAGCAUCCUCUCUCUCUCUCUCUCUCUCUCUCUCUCUCAAAAAGAAGCUUUUAAAAAAUCUCUGCAAUCCUAGCCUUCUUCUUCCUGCUACUUCAUUAGAAUCUCUUCUCUCGUUUACGAUACGUCACGGCAGUUUCAGAUGGGAGUGGACAACAUGCUUAAGAUGAUAACUGAAAUUGAUCAAACCGCGUGUGGGGUUAUGGAAGAGAUAGGGAAUGCAGAGAUACUGCUUUCGAGAGGAAGAAAAGCUUGGAGGAAGAGAAGGAAAGGUUUCAGAAAGCUGCUUAUGCUGUACUAGGCAUGCUCAAUAAGAAUUUUUAAAUUGCAGUUCCGAUUCAUGUGCUGGUGGGCGUACAACUGAUUAUAUUUGGUCAUGCAAUGAGACAAACAAGUUCUUUAACCUGAGUGAAGUUGGAGAUAAUUGUUUUUCCAUCUUCACUAUGGGGCUGCACCAUUUGCUUGAGAUGAUGAUGACUGAGCCGGAUGACCUGGGAAAGUCUCUUGGUCCUCAUAGUAAAAGGCUGUGGGAUGUUAAACACAACCCCUAUUUCCCCUGCCACAUCUGAAGGAUUCGAGACAGGAUCUGUGAAGCAUUACCCUUCAGGGAUUUGCAUCCCUAGCAUCUGCUCUUUGGAUAAAGUGAUGUCUCAAUUAAACGGUAUGUGUGACUAUAGCAUGAUUUCUUUUCUAAAUAUAUUCUUGACUGCCAGGAAAGUUCCCGAAGCCUCCCCAAAUGACCACUUCUUAAAUAAAAAGAAUAGCUGCUGACUGGUGAUGAUAAAAACGUACUUGCAGAGUCUUUGCUACAUAUACGCAGGAUGAAUCCCCUUUACAAUCAUCUGCAGUAGACUUUUCCUCUUUCAUCUGUUAUACCCCAGGAUGGCCUAACCUAGUUCAACUUAUAUGCACUAUGUAGAACAUGCAUCAUGCAUAAGGUGUCAUCGUUGUGCCAAUAAAUGGGGUAUUCACUCAAUCACUAACAUAUUUUAGCGAUAUGAUUAUCAGAUAAUUUAUUUCUUGACUA